rnacentral:tRNA from 1 species
GGGGUCGUGGGCUAGUCUGGUCUACGCUACGCGGCUUGGGCCCGCGAGGUCGUGGGUUCAAAUCCCACCGACCCCACCA